rnacentral:lncRNA from 1 species
CAAAUAUUGAUUGUUAAGAUUCUAGACCAUCUUCCAAAAGAGACAUUGUUUUUUCGUCAUACUUAGCUGUCUCUGCAUCAUCCUAUGGAUGUUCACUGAGACUAUCACACAAUAUAUAACAAGAAAUAAAGUUUAUGGGGUCAUUGAUUCUGGAACUUGACGGACUUGAACACCGUACUGACAGUAAAAGAAAAGUAUUACGAGGUAAGCUGUAUUUCAUUUGUAGUAGGUGGGGUGGGGUGGGGUUUUUUUUGUGGAAGGAGGGGGGAAGUAGUUUUCAUAUAGGAAUUUUGCAAAGUAAGCAUUUCUGAUAAUUUUAUAGUAGAACGACAUCAAUCAACACCGACGGAUGCCACAAUAAAGGAUUAUCUCCGAGCAUUGUAGCAUACAGCAUUAUUUCUAUGAUACUGUCCAGUUACUGUGGAUUCAUUUUUAUUCGUGGGUUACUAGGUGUCGUUGUUCCAUGGGCACAAAUGAAUAAUGAAUUUAAUAGUGGUUUUUUUAAAAGUAUCAAAGGCUUGUAUAUAUGUAAAUUUGAAAUUCCAUAAAAUACAAAUGUUUCUCAAUCCAUGAAAAUCGUUACAUAUCAAAAUAAAUGAAUCCAAAGUAGGUUUUUCUGCCACCAGGACUUUCGAUAAGAUAUCCCCGAGAAAAUUAUCUAAAAAAGUAAUUUUAAUCCGGAAAAGAUCAUUGACUUCUAACUAAAAGAAUAUAUGCAAAUAUUCUUACUACGCUUAAGACAAUUAUACAUUCGAAGCUAUACAUAAGAACAAACUUUGGUUUGAGACAUUACAUAUAUUUUUCAAUGUGAAUGUUUGAGUAGUAUAAAUACUAGGCUAUCUAUCAACUGUAUUAAUCUUUAGAUGUACACUUGGACUUGGUGGCCUAUCAACAAACAAACUAUACAAUGAAUGAUAAACAAAUUAUCACUUUAGAUGAUAUAUAAAUCAGUGAUGUAUAGUAUCAAGAAAUGAAUGUGUUUUUUCAUGUCUGGUUUAAAACUUCUUUUUAGACCCCAUUUAGGAGCAUUAUGUUUUAUGGUCUCUGCAAUUGGCCGUUCCUACGUCUGUCCCGCUUCAGGUUAAAGUUUUUGGUCGCGUUAGUAUUUGAUGAAGUUGGGAGUCCAAUCAACUUGAAACAGACAAACUUAGAAUACAUGUUCCCUAUAAUAUAAUCUUUUUUAUUUUAAUGCCAAAUUAGAGAUUUUUCCCCAUUUUUACGGUCCACUGAACAUAAAUGUUUAUUCAAACAAUGCACUAGGUCGAGACUUGCUGCUCAGUAAUAAAGCUACCCCAUGUACGCCCAUCAUGAUGCCUAUUGAUUUCGGCUAAGUGUUUUAAUUAGGGAGCACUACUCAAUCAUUUUAUUCGUAUUUAUAUUGCAUUAAAGAUUCUGAAAAACUUUGCAGUGAAAAUCUUGUCCGAAGAAAAACUUCUUAGUUGGUACAAAAUGCAGAAUGUUUGAUGUACAGAAUAAUGAAUGAAAGAACUAGCAAACAUUUAACAGUUCACAAUCUUCCUGCUCUCUCCAAAAACGUGUGUCUAAUUAUUAGAACAGCAGCAAAUAUGAAUUUUGAAUUGUUUGGUUCAAGUUUGCAGGAGAUCAAACACUUGACCAUGUUGACGUCUGCUAUCAACAUUGCCUACUUCGACGUCAUUCUAAAAUCAUUUAUAAAAAAAGAGAACAGAUGAAACGGAGGAUAUCCCUGAAAUAUUGAAAGAAGAAGACAAACUGAUCAAACACUUUAUAGAUCAAGGAAAUCCAACUAAAAUUAAUACUACCUUCCAAAGGGAAAUAGAUAAUAAACUUAAGAAUAUAGAAAAUAAUAUUAUAGAAAAUUUAGAAACAGAUAAACCAUUCAGUUUCUCAAAAAUAAAAAAAAGUUAUUAUGGACUAAAAUUAGGGGAAGUUGCUGGCCCUGAUAGAAUUAUAAAUGAAGUUAUAAAAUAAUCUAACUCAUUUAUGAUUAAAAAUUAUGUAAAAAUAUUUAAUCUUAUCUUACAAACAGGGAAAUACCCUAAAACAUGGAGAAACUCAUUUUUAGUCCCAUUACAUAAAUCUGGAGAUAAAAAUGAUCCCAAUAACUACAGAAGAGUCUCUAUGAUUAAUUGUCUUUCAGAAACUUAAACAGGGCUACAGAAUAGUCUAAAUGAUUUAGCUUUAUACUGUGAUAAAUUGCAAAUAGAAUUGAAUAUUAAACAGACAAAAUCUAUAAUAUUUAAUAGGACAUGCUCUAAACUAGAAAAAAAAAUUUAAUUUUAAAAACAGUAACAUUGAUAAUGUAUCAGAAUACUCAUUUUUUAGGCUUAUUAAUUAAAUGCAAUGGCAACAUGUCUCAUAGUUCAAAAAAGCCCUAAAAGCUUUAUUUGGGUUGAAAGCUUACACAAAGUCUUUGAAUAAUUUACCAGUCAAAGUGGCAUGCCACCUCUUUGAUUCCCUCAUAAAACCAAUAAUGAUAUAUAACUCUGAAGCAACAUAUUUAGACACAUAUAUAUAUAUAUAUAUAUCUUUUCAGAGCAAAAAAACAGAGCUUUAAAUUCUGGAAAAGAAGUAGAUAUUUUAAGUUUUGCAGAAAAAUUACACUUUAAAUUUUGUAAAUUUUUACUAGGAACUAGAAAGAAUGCAUCUAAUCUUGCAACUAGAGCUGAAUGGGGAGACUCCCUAUAGAAUUUAAAGUUAAAACACAAACUUUAUUAUAUUUUUAAAAAGAGAUUUGAAAGCUGCAAGUUAAAUCCUAUUUUGAAAGAAGCUUACACGCUCAGUAAAAACUUAGACACAGGAGUAUACCAGAAGGAGUAUACUCCUGGUUUACCUAUGUUCAAAAUAUUUUAAGUGAACUUAAUUUAGGUAUAGCACAAAUUCAACUAAAUACUAGUUCAGACAAAACAAUAAACAAUUCAUUAAAAGUUUAUAUAAAAACAAGCUCUAAAAACUACUUUGAAAAUUUGAUACAAAAUAAGAUGCAAAACAUCGAUGAAAAAAGUAAACUUUAUUCAUAUAAGAACCUGAAACAAAAUUUAUGUUUUGAAGCCUGUUUAAGAACAUCAAACUUUAAAAUUUACUUAUAGAAAAUUAAUAACAAAACUAAGAAUUAGUGACCAUAAUUUAAAUGUAGAAAAGGCCAGACAUUGUAAUAUUCCUAGAGAGCAGAGAUUAUGCCUUAUAUGUAAAACAUUAGAAAACGAAAAACAUUUUAUAUUAGGUUGUAAAUUAAAUAGGGAAGUUCAACUAAGAAACAACUUUUUUAACAUUUUGGAUUUUAAUUUUUCUGUUCCAGAUUUAUCUGAUGAAGAAAAGUUGAUUUUUAUACUCAAUUCAUCAACACCAUUACACGUAAAUAAAUUGGGGUCCUACAUCAAAAGGUCAUUAGAACUGAGGACAGGGGACACUGGAAUAUUUACUGUAAAUGAAUGAUUGUGUAUAUAUAUAUUAAAUAUGUGAAUUAUAUAGUUAUAUCGUUUACUUAUUUUGUAUGUCACAAACUUAAAAGUUUAUAUGGCAAUACAUAUUUGAAUUGAAUUGAAUUGGUCAUCACCGAAGUGGUUUCUGUCGCACGAUGAACCGUCAUUUUACUAAACUCUACCAGUAUGAAUUUUAAGGAUUAUGUUUACACAAUAAGAAAUAACUUCAAAUAAUGAUACUGAGACACACAUACAAAAGUCUAUUAUUCAUGCUCACAGAAAAUUGACACUAACGGGUUAAUUUGUUAUAACUUAAUAUAUUUUUUAGAUAAAUCUAGAUUAUGUUUGACUAACCAAAGAAAAUAUGUAAAUAAGAUAUUCACAAAUUAGUUUUAAUUAAAUGAUUUAAAGCUUUGGUUUGAAACAAUUUCUGACUUGUAAUGUUGUUAACAUAGGGCUUCCCCUGAUAUAUGCAAUAUGAAAAACAUAUAUUUCGAAGCAACAACGAUAAAUGUUGAUAUUAAAACAAAACUGUGAAUUUAAGUUGUUUGCAGUGCAAAUGGGAGCUUAUAUAUGGGGUCUUUCCUUUUUUUUCAGAAAAUAUAAGACUAAUCUUGAACAAUUAGUUUUGUUUGUACGAUGACAUUUUUUAAUGGCAUGCUUCCUGGAGAGACAUUAGAGAAAUUUUUAGACCGAGAAGUUCGGCCAGAUACAAAGUUCUUAAGUGACUGUAGCCAAGUUAUUGACACGGUUGUGCGAUUAAUACAUCGUAAUCCAAAAUACAAAGUCAAUCAAGUUAUCAAAGUAAGUACUGCGUGCAGUAUUUAGAUUUCAAUAGUGUCUUUUAGCGAAUAUAAUUGUUGAUAUAUUAGGUGAUAGUCAGGGUUACUAAAGUGACCCCCUGCCUACGAAAAAAAUUAACAUAUGCAUAGUUUGUAGUAAAGUGUAUAAUCGGAUUUUAUUAGUACGGGAGUAUUAAAUCACUUUGAAUAGUAAACUGUCGGUGAAAUUUCAGGUUUAGUCACGUUUCUCCAACAUUUGAUAAUUAGACUAAAACAACAUAAGGGAUUAAGGGGUCCUCAUAAGGACUAGCAUGGUGAUAAUUACCUGUAAUUCAACUAUAUCAGGUCUUAACUAAAAUAUUGUAAAAAGGGAUAUUGUUAAAAAAUAUUUAUAUCAAAACAUUAACAAACCAUAUAAUUUUGGUCGAGUAUAACCAGAAACGGUUACGUUAUUAUUUUCAUCCGCCGUAUUUGAUUUACAAAAUUAAAAAGGUUAUUCAACAAAAAAAUCCUUAAAUAAACAAGGGAAAUUCUAAUCAAAAUUAUGAAGAAAUACUCUAGAAAUUAUUUUUUUUUAAAGAUUUUUUUUAUUAAAAGUAACAUGAAAAAUCGAAAUGUUCACUGACUGUACGUACCUCAUUUUAGUAAUGUAUUCUAUUACUUGAUAUAUUUUUGUAUUUGUGUUACAUGUAGAUGUUAAAAUCUAAACCGAUGCAAAACAGCCAAGUUUUAUUUAUGUAAAAAGUCACCAAAAGCGAUUGUCUUCUAGUGCGAAGAACCAUAUAACUACCUAGUCGUUCUGUCUGUAUAUCAGUAGAGCCGAACCCAGUUUUCGUGGUAUGCUGUCUUAGCAGAUGAAAUAGUCAGUCGUAUAUCUGUCCACUUUUUCCACGAAAACGGAGCUGAUACAAAUUGGGUACAUCACUUCGCGUCGUGAUCUAUAUAGUGUUUAACUGGGGGAACUGGCUUGGUGAAUAUUGUGCACUACUAGUAUUUCCGAUUUGUUACUUGAGCUUUGGACAAUUAAUGCAAGUUGACUAAGAAUUUUGAAUAAAGUUACUGUAUCGGUGAUAUAUAUAAUAAGCUGCGUUUUGCACUUUUAUAUAAGAUUAAUCAUUAUGACUCAAGAUAUAUAAAUUCUUAAUAGCUCUCAAAAUAUAAAAUGUUAAUUUUAAUUCAAGAUCGCAACAUUGUAAUCUAUAAUACAUUAUUAUGAAAAAUAGAGAACAAAAUUAUGAAAAAAGCAAAAAAUUGCUUCCGGCCGCACGGUAACGGAUACUGGAUGUGUAGUGAUUGAUAAUUUAGUCUUAGAUCAUUUGUUGUUUUAUGUAUGUUUUUUGUACAUUUUUUAUUGUUCUGUUGCACCAAUGUCUCAAGAUAAGGGGAGUGUUGGAGCCUGUAAUUCGGUGGUUGUCGUUGCUGUGUAAUAUAUUCGUUUUUCGUUCAUUAUAUUGUACAAUAAUUAGGCCGUUAGUUUUCUCGUUUGAAUUGUUAAACAUUUGUUUUCUCGGGUCCUUUUAAAGCUGACUAUGCGGUAUUACUUUGCUCAUUGUUGAAGGUCGUACGGUGAUCUAUAUUUGUUAAUGUCUGUGUCAUUGGUCUCUUGUGAAUAGUUGUCUCAUUGGCAAUCCUACCACAUCUUCUUUUUUAUGUAUAAUUGUUAAGUUCUGUUUCAUUUUGUCUCUUGUAGAGAGUUGUCUCAUUGUCUAUCAUACCAUGAAAUAAAAAAUUACAUCACUGUGUUAGACUAUAUGGACUUUUACAAUUUUGGGAGACUAUUAAAAACUAUAUAUAUCUUUAAAAAAUAUAUACCUUUUUAACAAUAUUUUAGUCAAGAACCGGUGAAUUACAGGUAGAUAUCAAGAUCGAGUCCUUAAGAGGACCCCAUAAUCCCUAAUGUUGUUUUAGUCUAAUUACCAAAUGUUGGAGAAACGUGACCACACCAAAUUAAUUACCGAAAUGAGUAAUUUUACACUUUUUUGUUUAUUUAAAAGAAGUCAUUAUUUUAUCUUAUGAUCUUUAAAGUCUGAUGAUGCAGUCAAUAACUUCAAAAAUAUGUAAUGUUCUCAGAGAAGUCUAUAUAUAGACGUCGAAACGAAUAAUGGUAGUUUUGGGAGUUUUUUUUUAGUGAGGAGGGGGUACAUUUUGUUUUAGUUACAAACUCUAUCGACCCUGCAUAGAUUACAGACCGAACAAAAUCUUUACAAGGAAAAUUGUGGUUAUAUGUUAAUUUUACUUGGUGAAUUUUGUUAUAGGCUGCUUUCUUUUUAUCAACCCACUAUAGAUAAGGAAGUUACAAUAACGGAAGGGUGUUAAUUUAGCUAUGCGAAAAACAGACAAUAGAACUGACCAGUGGAUGUUUUAGAUAUUUCACUUAAUGGAUUUAGUAACUUGAGGCCAACGGUGUCUCCUAAUCUGUAAAGUUACUGAAUCUUCCCCUAAGAGAAAAAAAAAACUUUAACAUUUCAUUCCAAGCAAAAGCAUUGUCUUUAAAUAUCUCUCAUAAAUAUUGGAAUCAGACAAUUUUAAAGAUCACAGAAGGGAGAGGGAGUCUCUUUUGGACAAAUGUGUAGUGCAUUUUUCAGUUUCGGUUUCAGUUUUUGGUAUGAUUCGUGUUACUCGGUCUUUAGUUUUCUAUGUGGUGUUUUGUAUACUGUUGUAUUCUGUUCAUUGUUUUUUCACUUUUGCAUUUGGCAUUGUCAGUUAGUUUUCGGCUAAUGAGUUUUAAUAUCCCUUUGGUAUCUUUCGCCUCCUAUUUUCAUAUUUCCUUAUUUGCUUUAAAGAGUUUUAAGAACUAUUUAUGUAAACUUCUGUUGAUGAUUUAUGGUUUAACUGUGUGUAAAUGAUCAGUGUUUUUAUUGCAUACCAUGUGACUAUGAUUUCAGAGUGGAUCUUUAGGGAAAGGAACAGCUGUACGUGACCAUUCAGAUGUAGACCUUUUAGUGGUAUUGAAUAAUUUUAGGGAUGUCGAACAUUUGGCAGAAAACAUGGAAGAGGUUCUUUAUAACUUCCGAGAAUAUUUAAAAUCAGCUGUCGGAAAGACCAAAAAUAUUAAAAUAAAAAUGAAAGGUCAGACACCAUUCACCUUACAGUUUGACCUACGCUGUGGUGAUGAUUGGUUUGAUGUGGAUUUACUGCCUAUAGCUGAUGUAUGGAGUACAUGUAAAUAUAUUCAUUAUUGAAUCAUAUACUACUAGUAUGUAUAAAAAGGUAUAAGAAUAGAUUAAUUUCUUUAAAAAGUGCACUUAAACCGCCAUCUUUUCAUAGUUUAUUCAAAUCGCACUUGAGUAGAUGCUUACGGUGAUGUUUGUACGAAAAACCGGUAAUGGCAUUCCUGUGUGAAAUAUCUAAUUUCAAUUUGAUUUGAUUUUGAUUUUCUGUGUUUUAACGCCACUUUUAAGCACCGCUUUUGGGCUAUUUCGUGGUCGCUAGUUUUUACACGACCUCAAAAAUCGAAAAAAUUUUGGUCGUAUAUUGGUAUCACGUUGGUGUCGUCGUCGUCGUCGUCGUCGUCCGAAGACAUUCAGUUUUCGCACUCUAACUUUAGUAAAAGUAAAUAGAAAUCUAUGUUUAAACACAAGGUUUAUGACCAUAAAAGGAAGGUUGGAAUUGAUUUUGGGUGUUUUGGUCCCAACAGUUUAGGAAUUAGGGGCCAAAAAGGGCUCAAAUAAGCAUUUUUCUUGGUUUUCGCACAAUAAGUAUAAGUGAACAGAUAUCUACGAAAUUUUAAGAUAAGGUCUAUGACCACAAAAGGAAGGUUGGGAUUGAUUUUGGGAGUUUUAGUCUGAACAGUUUAGGAAUUAGGGGCCAAAAACAGGUCCCAACUAAGCAUUUUUCUUGGUUUUUUGCACAAUAACUUUAGUAUAAGUUAAUAGAAAUCUAUUAAAUUUUAACACAAGGUUUAUGACCACAAAAGGAAUGUUUGGAUUGAUUUUGGGAGUUUGGGUCCCAACGAAUUAGGAGCCAAAAGGGUACAAAAUUAAACUUUGUAUGAUUUCAUCGAACAUGUCAAAAAAUGAAUUAUUGGGGUUCUUUGGUAUGCCAAAUUUAACCGUGUAUUCAGAUUCUUAAUUUUUGGUCCUGUUUUCAAAUUGGUCUACAUUAAGGUCCAAAGGGUCCAAAAUUAAACUUGGCUUGAUUUUAACAAAAAUUGAAUUCUUGGGGUUCUUUGAUAUGCUGAAUCUAAACAUGUAUUUAGAUUUUUGAUUAUUGGCCCAGUUUUCAAGUUGGUCCAAAUCGGGGUCCAAAAUUAUUAUAUAAAGUAUUGUGCAAUAGAAAGAAAUUUUCAAUUGCACAGUAUUACGCAAUAGCAAGAAAUCUUCAAUUGCACAGUAUUGUGCAAUAGCAAGAAAUUUUCAAUUGCACAGUAUUGUGCAAUAGCAAGAAAUCUUCAGUUGCACAGUAUUGCGCAAUAGCAAGAAAUAUCUAAUUGCACAAUAUUGCGCAAUAGCAAAAAAAUUUCAAUAGCACAGUUUUGCACAAUAGCAAGAAAUAUUCAAUUGCACAGUAUUGUCCCGUUUUCAAAUUGGUCUACAUUAAGGUCCAAAGGGUCCAAAAUUAAACAAAAAUUGAAUAUAUGGGGUUAUUCAAUAUGCUGAUUCUAACCAUAUAUUUAGAUUUUUAACCGGAUUUUUGUGACAAAAAUGUCGGUUAUUGAUUUGGGGAUGUACGGCGGGCUGUCGGGCGGCCGGGCCGCCGGUCGGGCGGGCGGCAACCAAAUGUUGUCCGUGCAUUUAUUCAUGAACCGUUCAACCAAAGCUUUUAAAAUUUUAACAUGUUGUUACUGACAACAAAAUGAAGGUCAAGUUUAAUGAUGACGAUUUUGACUUUUACCGUUCAGGAGUUAUGGUUCUUGAAAGUUUGAAAAAUGGUGUUUCCAGUCGUGUCCGUGCAUUAACGCAUGAACUGUUCAACCAAAGCUUCCCAAAUUUUAAUAUGUUGUUGCUGAUGACAAAAUGGAGGUCAAGUUCAAUAAUGACGAUUUUGACUUUUACCGUUCAGGCGUUAUGGUUUUUGAAAUAUUGAAAAAUGGCGUUUCCAGUCGUGUCUGUACAUUUACUAAUGAACUGUUUAACCAAAGCUUUUCAAAAUUUAAUACGUUAUUACUGAUGACAAAAUGGAGGUCAAGUUCAAUAAUGACGAUUUUGACUUUUACCGUUCAGGAGUUAUGGUUCUUGAAAGAUAGAAAAAUGGCAUUUCCAUUCAUGUUGUUGCAUUUACUCAAGAACAAUUCAACUUAGCUUUUCAAAUUCUAAUAUGUUGAUACUGAUGACAAAAUGGAGGUCAAAUUUGAUAUUGACGAUUUUCACUUUCACCGUUCAUCAGUUGUGGUUCUUGUGAUAUUGCCAGGACACAAAAAAAUGUUAAUAAAUCCGGUUUGCUGUCAUUGUGACAGCCUCUUGUUAAUAUUUGGGUCCGGUUAUCAAAUUGGUCCACAUUGAGGUCUAAAGGGUCUAAAAUUGAACAUUAUUUGAUUUCAUCAAAAAUUGAAUUCUUGGGGUUCUAUGAUAUGCUGAAUCUAACCAUGUAUUUAGAUUUUGGAUAUUGGACUAUAAUAGGUAAAUGUCCAAUUUAAAAAUUUUAAGUUUUUAAGUUUAAGUUCUUAGACCACAUUCAUUCUGUGUCAGAAACUUAUGUUGUGUCAACUAUUUAAUCGCAAUCCAAAUUCAGAGCUGUAUCAAGCUUAAAUGUUGUGUCCAUACUUGCCCCAACUGUGCAGGGUUCAACCUCUGCGGUCGUAUAAAGCUGCGCCCUGCGGAUCAUCUGGUUAUUGGUGGAGGAAGCCAAAGUAUCCAGAGAAAACCACAUGCAUUUGAUAGGAAAACUGACAAUCCUAUUCAAUAAAGAUUGGAGUCAAGUGCAUCAACACAGUAUUGACUGGACAGCGAUUACAGUAGUAACUACUUAGACCACUCUGGCAUCGAGACUCAUACUAAGUAGCUAACUCUGGUAUUAUUGUCUCUCGCGUAACGUUCGUUCGUCUGUUCGUUGUUGCUUUUGCUUUCACAUGUACAAUUCUAGCCAUAUUUUUAUGAAACUUAUAUCACAGGUAUGCUAUUUUCUUUUCAUUCUUGCCAAGAAGCUCCUGUAUGAAGUCAACCUCAUAUGAAUAAAGAGAGAACAAAUCGGCAAGAAACACAAUUGGUUCCCAUGGGAAUGCCAAUUGUUUGUUCAAAAAAUACGGUCCAAAAUAUGUUGUCAAUCGUGAAAAACAAGUAUUUUAUAAAUGUCAGUUUCAUAUAAAAAUUUUGUUUGAAUCGGAAUUAGUUUUUACAAAGUACUAUUUAUCCCUCCCUAAGAGAUAAGAUACUUGUAUCUACAUUCUCCAACGGCUGAGAAUCAAUGAGCAGGUCGGUAAGUUUUAUUUUCAUCCUCAAUUUUUAUAUUUCUUUUCAUUAUUAUUCUUGUAAUUCAGGGUUGCUUGGUCUAGCUGGUGGUGUCGGAUCUACUUAUUCUACAAUGGAAAGUAAACCUCAUUUAAGGAAAUACUAUGCCAAAUCUUUAGCUAAACUGCAAGUGGAAUUUGUGAAACCAAUGCCGGCUAGAGUCAAAGAUUUGAUACGUUUGCUGAAAUAUUGGAAAUACACUGAACAGGUAAACCUUUUCUCUCUGUAUUGUUUCAUAAUUAUACUGUGUUUUUGAAAAUACCAAUCUUUAAUUUUUCGUUGUUCCAUCAUUAAAAUAGAACUGUUCAAGUCUUUGGCGGUUUUGUUAGUUCUAAACAUUCUUGACAAAUUUACUCAAGAAAGCGCUUAAACAUAGCUAGUCGGUAUGUUUUCUGUUUACUUAACUAAAGGUGAUUUUGGAUAUAGGCCAAUGCAACAUCACCUCGACGUGAUAAGUAAAAGCAAUCUAGAAGACAAUUUUAAGAGUUUUCGUUAAUAUACAAGAAGUUGAAAGGAUAUAGAAUGAAAUUCAAAACAGUGUGGCUGUGGCCAUUGAUUGACACAUUAAAUUCAUCCAUUGACUGGGACAAUUUACGUGAACGUUUGUCUGUAACGACCACUGUUCACGACGUUCCUACGAUAGACCUUUAAACUGUGGGGUUACCAAAGGUUUCUUAACGCCUUUAAUUAUAAAAUAAUUCGAAAAAAUAAUCAGGAAUAACCUUUAUGUUUUGAUUUAUUAUAUUAUAUAAAAUCAAAACAUCGUGUUAUUUCUGAUUAAUUUUUCGAAUUACUUUUUUAAGGUGUUGAGAACCUUUGGUGACCCCAUAGUUUAAGUGUCUUAAAAAAGUACAUAGUGAUCAGUGGUCGUUACAUACAACCGUUCACCGAAAUUGUCCCAGUCAAUGGAUGAAUUUAAUGAGUCAAUCAAUGGCCACAGCCACACUGUUUUGAAUUUCAUUCUAAGAAGAUGCACAGUGGAGUAGUGCACGAUCUAAAUGUAUAAUAGAUAAUAUUCGUUUUCAUGGAUAAUUAUAUUCGAUUAGAACACCGUACUGGAUAGAUUUAUUGUUAAUACCGUUAUCCUACCUCCUAUACAUUUCUAGUAUAAUUGGUGAAAAACAACUGCGUGGAGACCAUCUAUAGUUCAAUACACGGUUAGAAGUGGUGUUAAUAUGUCCCUUUGUAAAAACAACACGAUGUGAAGGGAAAAUCUGAAAGGUGCAAACAGACUAUUAAGAACCACUUAAUUGCAGGCCCCUGACAUGAUUGAUUGAUUGUUGGUUGCUUUACGUCGCAUUAGCACAAAAAGGCUAUAUCGCGGCGAGAGCUUAUUUGAUUUCUUUUAACAAUUUAAAGCAUAUUUUAAAAUAAGACAAAAGGUCCUUCAAUAAACUAAAAUUCUGGCCCCUGACUUGAGAAGAGCACAUAAAUAAAGCCAACAGUAAAACAAAUCCGUGUUACAAACUAAAACUGAGAGAAACACAACAAAUAUAAGAGGAGAACUACGACACAGCAGAAACACAACACUAAAUGUAACACACACAGAAACGAACUAUAAUAUAACAAUGGCCAUUUUCCACAAAGAAUGUUAAAGUUAACGAUCUUAUAUAAACUGUUUAAAAGUAUAAUUAAAUAUAAGAAAGUUAAUUAAGAAGUAUUAUAAUCAGUAUUAUAAAUUGAAAUUAAUAUAUCGUUUCAGGUGGAUUUAACUUCAUACUGCAUUGAAUUAAUGGUUAUAUACGUCUGGAGAGAAAAUGGAAAGCAAAAUAACUUCACUAUGAAGCAGAUGAUGACUAAAGUUGUUGGUCUACUUGCAUCUUUCGACAACGUUCGAAUUUCGUUUAACGAUCAUUUUACUCCAUCUUACUACAUAAAGCAGCUCAAAAAGUGAUUCUUUUGAAUUAUCAAGCAAUGCGAUUUAGAAUACUUCUGAAAUUAUCAUCAUAUAUGCCAAGUUUGUAAUAGUGUACGUCAGACGGCUGAAACAUAAAACUCGUCAAUGAAGCUCAAAACAAACCAGUUGGAAAGUAAAUUUGAUAAAAAGCUGAAAGAUUAUUUUUCAAUUCAGAUCGCAAUACAUGUAACUGCAGAUUUAGCCAACCACUCCUCCGGCUAGAUAUAAAAACUGAAAUGAACUAUAAUAGAUUGAAAUGUUCUUUUGACUCAUGAAUUCGAGCUCCAUAUUAUAUCUUUCCAUCAACUAUGAAAAAUAAUAGCCCCCUUAAUGUUGCUUUACGAAGAGAUUGUAGCCAAACGCUGUUAUCUAUAAUAAAUGCAGUACUUAGCAUACAUAAAAUAAUUUUGGACAAGUAUAAAAGGUUAACAGUACACCUCUAGGCAUUCGUAAGAAAAAGUCUCCCACACACACACACACACACAUAUGUUACAUAUAGACUAAUACAUUUCCAUUUGACAACAGAAAAAUCUUCAAUGUCUUUAAAUUUUUGCUCUUAUGGUUUAUCCAAAUCAUUAAAGUUUAUGUCACUUACUUUGAUUUAAUAUAUGAUGUUAUAUGAUUAAAAAAAAACUUUUUUCAGACAGUCACCGUAUGUUAUGGAUCCAGCUAACCCUUACCAUGAUGUUGCUUCAGACCCAAAAUGGAGUUUCUCUACAUGGUCUCGAGACUUUCAUAGAAUAGAAUCAGAAGGUCGACAGUUGCAACGAAAACUACAAGGAUUACCAGAAGAAAGCAGUUGCGUAAUAUCAUGAGAAAAAAAAAUCGAAUUAUCUGUUUAGUGAUAUUAUGUUUGCAACUUACUUUAAAAAAUAAAUUAAAAAAAUUGAAAGAAAACAUAAAACUUUUGCUGAAUGUACACGUCUCUCUUUAUUGUUAUUUUAUGAGUAAACAAUCAAGA